GCUUAGCUGAGAUCAAAAGAAACUGCCCAGCUGACCUGCAGACUCAUGAGCAGAAUAAAUGGUUGUUAUUUUAAGCUACUAGAUUCUCCUUGAACUCUAAGCCUGGAGGCUUUAGUGAUUCAGGCAGGAGAGGUUAGGUUCCUGACUUCUUUAGCAAGAGAUAGGUUUGAGCAUUAGGCAUUGUUGAGAAGGGAGAUUUUUCUAAAUUUCUUUAGUUGUUUUUUUUUCAUAGCAAAAGCCAGUUUCCCUAGACUUUCUCUUAUUUAGUAAAAAAAGAAAUACUUAUCCCCAUCUAGGCUUAGCCUCAAAGCUGGAAUUGAGAAGGAGAAUAUGACACAGAGAAAGCCUGUCCCUUCUGGUGAGAUGUUUGAGGGGAUAAGAGGAGUCAGACAGAGUGAGAGACUGAGGAAGAAAAAGAAGCCCUUUGGACAUGUAGGUCCUGGAUAUUCUGUCUCAUGAAGAUGAGGAACAGCAUUAGAGGACGCUGUGCAGAUCUGAGAAUGAAACCUACUCUCAAAAUCCCUUAGCUCUGUUCUGAGAUCCCUGAUAAACUUCGAUGGUGUUGGAAAUCCAUCAAUGUCAGCCUCCAAGUUUUCUACUAAUGCUUCUAGACCAUGUGGCCUCUUAGAAACAUCCAACUGAUAUACAGCAACAACAUGCAGGAAGACAAAGGCAUCUCCAGUGGGACUGAGAGCAAUCUUAACGCAGUGAACAGCUUGAGAUUCCAGAUUGCGGUGUUGGCAUUGGUAUCCCUAUUCUUCCCUUCAGAAGAAAAUAUUCUUAAAAUGGGCAAUUUGUAGAAAUGGAACCCAAAGUAGCGGAAUCGGGGUGGCAAAGAGCUUGGCCUGGAGUCCGUGCAGGGAUAGGUGGAUGACACUGCUGCAAAUGGGACUACAGAGAGGAGACUUGCUAGAGCCAAGUUUCCAGAAGCGAAACCUGGCCCAACAGUGCUGGUUUUGACCAGUGCUUCAUCAAGAGCAGAUCAGAGUGGUAGUAGCCGGGGAUUCAGGUCUUCUUCUAUCUCUCCAUUGAUGGCUCUGGAGUCUGUAAUGCUCCUCUGGUUGUCUUCACUGAUGGAUGGAUCUUCACACCAAGAUUUGGGCGAUUUAUACAAUGUGAUGGGAACACAGUAUAAUCUUUAUAGUGCUUCUCUUCUAAGAGCUUCUAAAAAACCCCACUUCCUGCUGCACAGCAGCUGGCCAUUUUGAUGAAGACUUCAUCCUGUGAUGCUACUACCUGGAUCAUCUAAG
rnacentral:lncRNA from 10 species